rfam:Bacilli bacterium VT-13-104 contig029, whole genome shotgun sequence.
UGAAAAGGACCGAGGUCGGCUAAGUGCGCAACGUCCUGGGGCUCCGAUUACUCGCCCCACCGUAAAGAUUUGUUGCAACGCCGACACUAGCACGUCCUGUGCG